UUUCUAGCUUAUGUUCUCAGAAAGAUAAGCAAGAAGAAAUAGGGCAUGGAAAGUUCCUGAGUGGAGUCAUAAUAGGAACUAAAAGUCUUAAAUCUGAAGCAAGCAGAGGAAAGCCCCAAAAUCUGCUACCACUCAGGAGAGGAGUGACAAUAUUAUGGACUAACAGCACCCUGCUAAUGACCAGACAUUGCUUGUUGAAGACACCGCCCCCAAGUGACUGAAACGCUCAUCAAAGGGGAGAGCCUGGAUGAAAGUGUUUUAGGCUGUCCACAUGAAUUUGCCAAACCACUGCAUCACUCAGACAUACACCUUUCACAUAUUGCAGCUCUUCACGGUCAUGUGGAACUUCCAGUUUUAAAAUGUGAAAGCUGAGAUUCUGAUGUAAUCACCUGACUCCAGGAGCUGGACCCUAUGCUGGAGCUGUAGUGCCUCUGGCCUAAUCCAUCUGUGCAGCCCCUCAAGUCUCGUUGGAUUUGGAAGGACCAGUGGCCCUCCCCAUUAGAAAAUAGAAGAUGUUGGAAGCAGUCCAGUUUCAAUACUCUUCAGGAUGAAUACCAAAAGCAGUGGGAGGGGAUAAGGCUGUUGGCUCUUCCCUGAAAGAUGACAAUAGGAAGUAUACAGUCUUGAUCUUGGUGAGCAGUGGCAGAGAGAGGAAGAAGAGAGAGAUGGGGGACUUUGCAAAGAAAGGUGCGAGAUGCUCCACUGGAGAUGUGUUUAAGAAAUUCACACUACUGGAAUAGCAGGGUUCAGCUUGUAAAUGCUGCCACCAAUCACACCCUGCAAAGAUCACACCGCUCUACGUCUGAAUCCUAUAGGUUGUAGCUCUAACUGCUUAAUACCAAUUCUUCCUUUUCAAAUGUAUUGAUAACUCCCAUGGUAAUGGUGCAAUUACCACGUCAGCUGUAAUGCUGUUAAUUGUUGUUGACCAAAGCUUGUAAAUUAAAAAGCUUUGAGUUCUACAGCUUGUAUCAGUAGCAAUAUAA